ACUAUUUGACAAUAAUGUAUUCCUCUUCUAAGCUGUGUUUACAAGAUAAGCAUUUGAUUUUUUCAAGCAUUUAAAAACCUGAGUCUCAAUAAGAUUAAAUCAACCAAAAAAAAAAAAAAGAAUUUUAUUCAUCAUCCAUCAUCUAAGCUUCAUAAACUUUGCACUCUUCAUCUGCUGGGUUUGUCUCGCAGAAUUCUUCCAAUGGGUCUCCAGUUCCUUUUGGAGAUACUCCUGGCCAUUUGCUGGCUACCAAAUGAGCCAAA
rnacentral:misc_RNA from 1 species